CCUACGGGAGGCUGCAGUCGAGAAUCAUUCACAAUGGGGGAAACCCUGAUGGUGCGACGCCGCGUGGGGGAAUGAAGGUCUUCGGAUUGUAAACCCCUGUCAUGUGGGAGCAAAUUAAAAAGAUAGUACCACAAGAGGAAGAGACGGCUAACUCUGUGUCAGCAGCCGCGGUAAUACAGAGGUCUCAAGCGUUGUUCGGAAUCACUGGGCGUAAAGCGUGCGUAGGCUGUUUCGUAAGUCGUGUGUGAAAGGCGCGGGCUCAACCCGCGGACGGCACAUGAUACUGCGAGCCUAGAGUAAUGGAGGGGGAACCGGAAGUCGCGGUGUAGCAGUGAAAUGCGGAGAUAUCGAGAGGAACACUCGUGGCGAAGGCGGGUUCCUGGACAUUAACUGACGCUGAGGCACGAAGGCCAGGGGAGCGAAAGGGAUUAGAUACCCCUGUAGUC
rnacentral:rRNA from 1 species